rnacentral:ribozyme from 16 species
AUGUCUUGUGAUUCCUAUUUCUUUUAUUUAUUUCCUUUUUUUUUUUCAUAUUUAUUUUCUUCCUUCAUUGAAUUC